rnacentral:rRNA from 1 species
AUUGAACGCUGGCGGCAGGCCUAACACAUGCAAGUCGAGCGGAGCGGCGGACGGGUGAGUAAUGCCUAGGCAUCUUCCUGGUAGCGGGGGAUAAAGUCCGGAAACGGGAGCUACUACCGAAUACUUUCCGAUUAGCCUAGGUCGGAUUAUCGAGUUGGUGGGGUAAAGGCCUACCAAGGCGACGAGCCGUAACUGGUCUGAGAGGAUGAUCCGUCAAACUGGAACUGGGACACGGUCCAAACUCCUACGGGAGGCAGCAGUGGGGAAUAUUGGACAAUGGGCGAAAGCCUGAUCCAGCCAUGCCGCGUGUGUGAAGAAGGUCUUCGGAUUGUAAAGCACUUUAAGUUGGGAGGCGGUACCAACAGAAUAAGCACCGGCUAACUUCGUGCCAGCAGCCGCGGUAAUUC